GGUUUCUUUCAAUGUCUUGCGUGAACAUUGUCGUCAAGCCGUCCAAAUCACAAUAAAAAUAAUGAAUCUUGUUAUUAAUUACUGAGCAUCGAAUCAAAUCUCAACGUUAUGAAUAGAUCAUUAACCUAAAAAUCCACCAACCCGUGACGCCUCUCUGAAACAACAUUCACACGCCCGUGAGUUUUAAGAACCAUGCACACGUGGCGAUCCAACAUCUUCCCAAUUUUAUUUUAUGUCAUAUACAAUCUCUAAUUCUCUAUGUUAUAUAGAGUUUUUCGUAAACUAUAAUAUACGUCCAUGACAUUUGAGCUAUCAUAGAUCUAGUAAAUUUAUAAACUAUACGCAACAACUUUCUACUUUUAUUCACAACGUUUGGUGGCUCGGAAAUAAAGGCCAUUUGAUCGUCAUUCGGUGAUUAUCUUGUUAUAUGAUCCAUUGGUUCUUAAUGCUUCUAAUGGUCAAGUAUGUAAUUUAAAAAAAAUGUAAACAAAAGGAUAAUGUUAGUCGUGGUUUACCGUCCAGUCGUCCACACAACAACAUU